UUCUUAUCCAGAGAGGCGGAGGGACUGGCCCGAUGAUGCCCGGCAACCAAUCACCUGUGUACAGGGGAUACUGGUGCUAAUUCCUGCAGAGUGUAAACGCUCUGAAAGAUGAGAA
rnacentral:ncRNA from 2 species